GGUUGCACAAGAUCAAAGAAACAAAACUAGUCCAUGGGAAGAAAAGCAUUGGGACGAAAAUAAAAACUGAGUCCAGGCAUCUUCGAGCGGUUCUUGUGGGAAAAAACCUUGAUAUUACUUAGAGUGAGGCCUCCUAGUAGUUAUCUGGGAAUUUUCGGGACGUUUCUCACAUGGUUAAAAAUCGGCAGAUUUUCGGUAUGGUAAAGCCUUGGCCAUUUUUGGACCGUUUUUGGCGCAACCGUUGUGCACCCCGAACGAGCCCCACCCGACCCCUAGGCCCUGGGCUUUUUUUCUGUGUCAUACUGGGUGCAAUAUAGAUGGGUUUCCACACCUAUCCGCGGGCUAUCAUCGGCCUAAAUAGGUUGCACAAGAUCAAAGAAGCACAACUAGUCCAUGGGAAGAAAAGCAUUGGGACGAAAAUAAAAACUGAGUCCGGGCAUCUUCGAGCGGUUCUUGUGGCAAAAAAACCUUGAUAUUACUCAGAGUGAAGCCUCCUAGUAGUUAUCUGUGAAUUUUCGGGACGGUUCUCACAUGGUUAAAAAUCGGCCGAUUUUCGAGUAUAGUAAAGCCUUGGCCAUUUUUGGACCGUUUUUUGCGCAACCGUUGUGCACCCCGAACGAGCCCUAGGCCCUGGGCUUUUUUUAUGUGUCAUACUGGGUGCAAUAUAGAUGGGUUUCCACACCUAUCCGCGGGCUAUCAUCGGCCUAAAUAGGUUGCACAAGAUCGAAGAAGCACAACUAGUCCAUGGGAAGAAAAGCAUUGGGACGAAAAUAAAAACUGAGUCGGGCAUUUUCCGAGCGGUUCUUUGUGGAAAAACCUUGAUAUUACUCAGAGUGAGGCCUCCUAGUAGUUAUCUGUGAAUUUUCGGGACGGUUCUCACAUGGUUAAAAAUCGGCCGAUUUUCGGUAUGGUAAAGCCUUGGCCAUUUUUGGACCGUUUUUUGCGCAACCAUUGUGCACCCAGAACGAGCCCCACCCGACCCCUAGGCCCUGGGCUUUUUUUAUGUGUCAUACUGGGUGCAAUAUAGAUGGGUUUCCACACCUAUCCGCGGGCUAUCAUCGGCCUAAAUAGGUUGCACAAGAUCGAAGAAGCAAAACUAGUCCAUGGGAAGAAAAGCAUUGGGACGAAAAUAAAAACUGAGUCUGGGCAUCUCCGAGCGGUUCUUGUGGGAGAAAACUUGAUAUACUCAGAGUGAGGCCUCCUAGUAGUUAUCUGUGAAUUUUCGGGACGUUUCUCACAUGGUUAAAAAUCGGCCGAUUUUCGGUAUGGUAAAGCCUUGGCCAUUUUUGGACCGUUUUUUGGCGCAACCUUGUGCACCCCGAACGAGCCCCACCCGACCCCUAGGCCUGGGCUUUUUUUAUGUGUCAUACUGGUGCAAUAUAGAUGGGUUUCCACACCUAUCCGCGGGCUAUCAUCGGCCUAAAUAGGUUGCACAAGAUCGAAGAAGCACAACUAGUCCAUGGGAAGAAAAGCAUUGGGACGAAAAUAAAAACUGAGUCCGGGCAUUUUCGAGCGGUUCGUGUGGGAAAAAACCUUGAUAUUACUCAGAGUGAGGCCUCCUAGUAGUUAUAUGUGAAUUUUCGGGACGGUUCUCACAUGGUUAAAAAUCGGCCGAUUUUCGGUAUGGUAAAGCCUUGGCCAUUUUUGGACCGUUUUUUGCGCAACCGUUGUGCACCCCGAACGAGCCCCACCCGACCCCUAGGCCCUGGGCUUUUUUAUGUGUCAUAAUGGGUGCAAUAUAGAUGGGUUUCCACACCUAUCCGCGGGCUAUCAUCGGCCUAAAUAGGUUGCACAAGAUCAAAGAAACAAAACUAGUCCAUGGGAAGAAAAGCAUUGGGACGAAAAUAAAAACUGAGUCUGGGCAUCUCCGAGCGGUUCUUGUGGGAGAAAACUUUAAUAUUACUCAGAGUGAGGCCUCCUAGUAGUUAUCUGUGAAUUUUCGGGACGUUUCUCACAUGGUUAAAAAUCGGCCGAUUUUCGGUAUGGUAAAGCCUUGGCCAUUUUUGACCGUUUUU
rnacentral:lncRNA from 1 species